rnacentral:rRNA from 1 species
AUUGAACGCUGGCGGCAGGCCUAACACACGCAAGUCGACGUAAGUGGCGGACGGGUGAGUAAUGUAUGGGGAUCUGUCCGAUAGAGGGGGAUAACUACUGGAAACGGGCGCUAAUAACGCAUACUACCAGAUGAGCCGAGGUCGGAUUAGCUAGCUGGGGGGGUACAGGCCUAUCAAGGCGACGAUCGGUAACUGGUCUGAGAGGAUGAUCAGUCAGACUGGAACUGAGAGACGGUCCAGACGCCUACGGGAGGCAGCAGUGGGGAAUAUUGGACAAUGGGCGAAAGCCUGAUCCAGCCAUGCCGCGUGUGUGAAGAAGGUCUUCGGAUUGUAAAGCACUUUAAGUAGGGAGGCGUUGCCAACAGACUAAGCACCGGCUAACUUCGUGCCAGCAGCCGCGGUAAUAC